GACAGAGGUUGCGAGCGUUGUUCGGAAUUACUGGGCUUAAAGGGCGAGUAGGCGUCCCGGUAAGUCGGAUGUGGAAUCUUUUUGCUUAACGAAAAAAUUGCAUCUGAAACUAUCGGGAUUGAGUCAGUGAGGGGAGGGCGGAAUUCCUGGUGUAGCGGUGAAAUGCGUAGAUAUCAGGAGGAAGGCCUGUGGCGAAGGCGGCCCUCUGGCACGGUACUGACGCUGAGGCGCGAAAGCGUGGGGAGCAAACAGG
rnacentral:rRNA from 1 species